CUGGGAAGGCAGGAAACUGGGCUCGAGCUGCUCUGGACUGCUGUGGGGAUGGGUUUGAAGUUUUGGGAUCGCUUGUUUCUGUCCCUACCUUCCCAUUGAAAACAAUAACUUAAGAAGUCCUCGUCUGGACUGCAGGAACCACAAAGCCUGAAGUUCCCGAAGCAGCAAGAGCAGCGACAGCAAUGGCAAAGCUGCUGAGCAGGAGAAACCAAAGCGCUUAAAGGAACUUGCUGAGAAUCAAGAAGCCAGACUUCAGCAAGUGACAGCCCUGAAAGGCCACGUGGAGCAGAAAAAACUCAGCGUUGGGAAAUGAGCGGAGGAGGGGGACCAGCUGAAGAGCCUGUUGCAGCCGAAGCGGCGCGAGCUGGCACUGGAUGUGCCGAAAGCAGAGGAACUGCCUGGGCUGCCAGAGAUGCUGAGGAAGGGCUGACGAAUUGGUGGUUACCACGACAACCUGUCACCUGUAGCUGAGCUCCACCCACUGUGUGUCCAAGGAGCUGCAGCUGAGGAACAAAGUGAAGCAGGAGCAGAAUGCCAGGCUGCAGCACCAGAGGGAGCAUUGGAAGGAGCGCAGCUUGGAGGUGGCAGUGCUGGAGAAGCGUGUUAGUGAGCUGCCAGAGCGCCUGGGGAAGAGAAAGGCAGCUCUGUCCCAGGGAGAGAAUGUACCGGGUUUCUUCAGAUGGGAAUUCACCACAGCCGGUGGCUUCUGCUCCAAGGGGAGUGGCAGCAGUAGGUCCUUCUAUCCAGUCCUCUACUAUGCCACGUAUUGCUUCCAGACCUGAACUUUAGGUGAAAGCAGCAUUCUCAGGUGGGACAUGAGUCUUGCCAGGCAGCUGAGGGUCUGCUAAAAUUACAAACUCUGCCCAACGUGGGAGCUGGGAACCGUUCACAAGCUAAAGCUCCUGCAGCUCUCCUAAAAACUAUACACCAGUGUGCGUUUGAGUUUCUAGAGUCAGUUUUGGGUCAUACCUGGUAACAACCUGGUGCCUGGAUUUAACAACUAGCAAAGCCAAGUUUUGUGAUCAUGCAUUUUGGAAAUGACACGUGUAAAGGAUUUACCAUUAGCAUUGCAGGAAAUAUUGGAGGAGGCAGCUGAUCGUAGCACAGAAAUAGCAAUAAAGUUACUGACUUGCUGCUGACUGAGGCUUGGCCUCUGCUACUUGGAGAGUUAAUGGAGAUUUGCUUGGCUUCUCCAUGGGUUUCUUCUAAGAGAGACAGUUCAGUUCCAUGAGAGAGAAGUGUGGAGAAAACUAGAGACUGUGCUCUUUUGGGAAAAGACUCACUUUUCACCUGGGAGGGAAGAGAAACUCUGAUUUUUCUCAAAAGAAAAAAUAGAGAGUGAGCUCGUUGUCGGCGGACAGAAAUUGCGUCAACAAUUUCUAUUGCAUUUCUGAGACCUUCACCUUGGCAUGGCUGGGUGCAGACAGUAAAAAAAUACUGCGCCACUAAUAUGGCUGCAGGCCUUGUGCCAAGGUGAAGGAGGAGUUGUUCUGGCAGGAAAACAAGUUUUAUGGACACCUGCUGUUAUCCAAUUAGUACUGUAUACCACAGUAUGUUUUCCUUAUGUAUCCAAUGUAACCUGGGGAAGAAUCACAUGUCUGUGUGUCACAGGCAGCAUAUAAGCUGUCUGUCCUCUAAUAAAGCGGACAUUUUUGCCAAUCAUAUUGAUUUGUGUGCAUUUCUGUCUGACCCCCUCCGUCGAUAUCUGGAGCCCGUUUAACAGGGAGUCCUACUUCGUCGAGUUCUGCAGGGACGUAAAGGCGAACGGAAGGAGCUGAGGGAAGCGGUCGUGGGAGGUGAUGCUGUCCCCGGCAUCACAGAACAAAGCCAUGCGCAUGGUACAGAGGAAUCUCACCCUGGCCCGGUGAGUCGACCGAGGGAGAGAGCAAGGGGCCCACGGCAUCCAAAGAGGAUGAGGCUGUGGAAACGCUCCUCCAAUAUAUAAUCUCUCUAGGAGAGCCUGUUUCUGAUGAAAAAGCCCCUAAGGGGUUAAUAGCGUGGGUGAGAGCGAAGAAUCUACUUCCCACUGCUCACACCGCCUUUCAGGUGUCCACAAGGGACGCUAUAAAGGAAUUGUUUUGGGACGGGAUCUCUACGGGAUCAGGAGACGCUAGAAAGUGUACUCUGGUCUGGCGUCUGGCAGUUGAGUCGCUACAAGAGUUAAGUUCUGAGCGACGGGACCUCAUAAAUGUUCAAACAGCUCUGUCGGGGAAUGGCGGGACUGUGGCGGGUCCCCGCCCCGAUCGGUCCGCUGUAGGGGAGAUCCCCGUGCUCGCGGCUGCGAAGUUGCGAAUGCUAGGACCCUUACAAGCAGCGGUAUCACCUCCGUUUGGCACCGUGUAUGUGGCAGCAGAAAGUGUAGAGGCUGCAGGGAAAUAAGUAGCGGCGGAAACUAACGCUGGAGCCGUGCCAACGGCACCGCUCUCUACUGCGGCUGCGCAGUCGGCAGUGUCGCUCCUCACUGUGCCCGCUACUGCGCAUGUGUCAACUGGACCGACGCUGCUGGGAGCCUCCGCGUCCCGAGAUGGCGCUGCAUCGCUGGCGCCUGAAGCCACCAUGGAACCCGGAAGACAGCCACUGUGAAUCGCUGCCAUGGCAACAGACGCUGUUUAAGGGGAAAAAAAAAAUUAAAACCACACCGUUUCCAGGUUCUGUGGUCGCCUGUGCAAAACCUUCCCCAUCUGCCCCUGACUGGAGUAGUUCAAAUGCAGACAAUCAUAUUGGUCACAGGGAUCAGCCUUGACUUCAGGAAAAGGAAUUGCGACUAGUGAAGGACAAGAUCAUCUGUGACCUGGAAGGGAGGAAAGGCUCCAAGAGAAUGGCUUUUGCCUUGAGACAGAGAAAUGAAGGGUUGGGCUCUGAUCAGAGAUGUUUGGCAGAGAUGAUGGUCAGUCCUUCCUCCUGAGAGAGCCUCACCUGCUCUCCCAGCUCGGAGACCUGUGCCUAUGAGAAAACAAGCCGUGCAAACCCUAACUGUGUCAACAAUACAAACCCGUCCAGCUGUCGUUGAUCUGCACAGCCAGAGAACUUCCUCCCUGAGGACACUGCUGUCAGAGCUGUGAGAUCAGAGCAGGAGGGUCAGGCCUGGCCUGAGCAGCCAGAUGGGUCCCCCAGCCCCCUGCAACCUCCCCCACAGUGUUGCCCUGGUUUGACCCAAUGGCUGCAUGUCCCCCAAAGUACAGCAGGACCCAGGGAAAGGGUGUGUGGAGCAGCUGUGCAGCAAUGAGGGACAGAGCUGCUUUGGGGAGGGCAGGAGGAUGAUUGCUUCCUCCAGCUCCCAUGGACCUCUGAGCAAAGGGGGCGAUUUCCAACCCCUCUGAGGGAUUUAUAUUGUGGGACCUGAUAUAUGCUGGAGCCCUUUUGAGAGCAAGAGGUAUCCACCUGGAACCACAAACCCACCCAAAAUUGCAUUGGGGAGGUGUCAAACAGGAGACAAGGGAGAUUCAGGAUGGAGCCACGUGGGUGGGAAGGUUUUCACCCAGCACAGACUCUGCAGGUGGGAACGUGGACAGGGGCACGGGGCUGAGCUGGGUUGCUGCCCCUCUGACCAAACCCCUCUGUGCCCCAGGGUGCAGGUGCCGGUGUGAUGGCCCAGGACAUCUGCAGCUCCCCAGGGGAUGGUGAGUACCGGGAUAGGUCCAUAAAUGGAGCUGUGGGUGACUGGAAAUGGGAAGAAAUAGGGGCUUUGUGUAGACGGCAAAAUUGGGUGAACAAUUUGUCCUGCAUUUUGAGGGCCUUGCCUUGGCAUAGCUAAAGCACAAACAGCAAAAGAAGCUGCGUAGCUAACAUGGCUACAGGCUCUGAAGUUAGAACUUCAGAGAAGAAGGCUCCCUGCCAAGAUCAAGGAGGAGUCUUAGAAAGCUAAACAAGUUUUUUCAUCUCUUAUGGACACCUGCAAUGCUCCAAUUAACACCGGACAACAAAGUAUGUUUCUCUUAUGUGUCCAAUGCUGUGUGUAGCAGCAGUAUAUAAUAAACCUUCUUCUUCUAAUAAACGGACAUUUUGCCGACCAUAUUGGCCUGUGAGCAGUCUGUUCCGAGCCCCUCCACCGCUAACUGGUGCCCGUGAAACAGGGACUCCUCGUUUGCCGUUCUGAGGGAUGAAAGGCGAACGCAAAGGAAGCUGAGGGAAGCAGUUGAAGAAGCAGCGCUGUCCCUGGCGCUAAGAAUUCUAAAACUGUGCGCGGCGAAGCGGAAUCUCGCCUUGGCCAGGUGAGCGACUGGAGGAGGGGCAUAGGACCCACGCUUUCAAAAGAAGAAGAGGCGGUGGAAAAGCUCCUCCAAUUUAUAAUCUCUCUAAGAGAGCCUAAUUAUGAUACCAGUGCCCUUAAAAGGCUACUCGAGUGGGUGAGAGCAAAGCAACUAAUCCCCACAGCUCAAGCUGCCUUUGAGGUGUCCUCAUGGGACACUAUAAAGGAACAGUUACGGGAAGAGAUCUCUAAGGGAUCAAAAGAUGCUAAAAAAUAUCCUACGCUUUGGCAUCUGAUAGUUAUAACGCUAUGCACUGAGCAUCUGCGGCUGCAAAGGCGGCUGCAAAGGUGACUUUCCAGGGAGACGGCGAGAUCGCGGUGCAAACGUGCGUAGAACGGUUUGUUUUUGGGGAGGUCUUGGCGCCUGCACCUGCAAAGACGCGAAUGCUAAAAGUCUUAAAAGCCGCAGGCUUGUCUCGGUUCAGCAGCGCGCCAGCGCUGGCAGAAAAAGCAGAGACCGUGGAGAACAAAGCUGGCGCUGUGCCAACGGCACCGCCCUCUACUGCGCCUGUGCAGGCAAUACUGCCACCUUCUACUGAGCCUGUGCAGUCAGUGGCGCCACUCCCCACUGCCACUGUGCAGGCGCCGCCCGGAACAGUGCUGCCAGGAGCCUCCGCGUCACCAGGGGGUGCUGCAUCACUACUGCCUGGAACUGCCAUGUCGCACGGAUUUGCGUCAUCAGGAGCCGUCGCACCUGAACCCGGAAGAAAGCCUGCGAGAAUCGCUGUUGUAGCGACUGGAGGUAUUCUGAAAAAAGCUGCCACUACGCCGGCGGGAGCCGCCAUCAUUCCAGCAGGGGCAGGAGCUACCGCAGGAGGUAUAAAUAUUACAGAUGGAUCUCUGCCAAUUAAAUCACAAAUUCUCCGUCGCCCUUUCAUGACAAGCUGUGCAAACAAUUCAGGUUGUGUCAUGAUUGUCUUUUUGGGUUGAUAUGGUAAGAAUACCCAUUCCAAAAUUCUUAUGCUGGUUGCGAUUUGACAGAUGAUGCCCAAUGGAUGCUUCCUGCUCUCUCCAGAAUUGACAAGUAGGUACUGCACUGGCUGGUCCUCUGUUAUUCGACAGGCAUAUCCUGCAGCUAUCUUUCCGGAGAUGUUAACUAUAGCUGCCUUUUGGUCUUCUGACAAUUCUCUUGGAAGUCCUACCUGAGCAACUGACCCUAGC